rnacentral:rRNA from 1 species
UGAUUAGCUAGUUGGUGGGGUAAUGGCUUACCAAGGCUUCGAUCAGUAGCUGGUCUGAGAGGACGACCAGCCACACUGGGACUGAGACACGGCCCAGACUCCUACGGGAGGCAGCAGUGGGGAAUUUUGGACAAUGGGGGAAACCCUGAUCCAGCCAUGCCGCGUGAGUGAAGAAGGCCUUCGGGUUGUAAAGCUCUUUCAGCCGGAACGAAAUGGUCACGGUUAAUACCCGUGACAAAUGACGGUACCGGAAGAAGAAGCACCGGCUAACUACGUGCCAGCAGCCGCGGUAAUACGUAGGGUGCAAGCGUUAAUCGGAAUUACUGGGCGUAAAGCGUGCGCAGGCGGUUUUGUAAGUCAGAUGUGAAAUCCCCGGGCUUAAC